rnacentral:misc_RNA from 1 species
AAAGUCGUAACAAGGUUUCCGUAGGUGAACCUGCGGAAGGAUCAUUAUUGAAUUUUUAAGGAUGUGCUGGCCCCCCGCCCAAGGGGGCAUGUGCACUCCUAACAAACUCGAUGUCCACCUGUGCACCUUCAGUAGGCAAAAGGAAGACUUCCGCAGUCCUCCCUUGUCUAUGUUCUCUUUAUAUCAACCCACUUGACUUCUUCGAAUGUUCACUAUACAAUAUAUACUAUUGUCAUACAACUUUCAACAAUGGAUCUCUUGGUUCUC